AUACGUAGGGGGCGAGCGUUACCCGGAUUCACUGGGCGUAAAGGGGGCGUAGGCGGCCAGGUGUGUCCGGUGUGAAAGCCCACGGCUCAACCGUGGGACUGCGCCGGAAACUACCUGGCUUGAGGGCGCUAGAGGGAGACGGAACUGCCGGUGUAGGGGUGAAAUCCGUAGAUAUCGGCAGGAACGCCGGUGGGGAAGCCGGUCUCCUGGGGCGUCCCCGACGCUGAGGCCCGAAAGCCAGGGGAGCGAACCGGAUUAGAUACCCUAGUAGUCC
rnacentral:rRNA from 1 species